CACCCCGUGCCCCCCACCCCCAUUUUCUCUCCCCCCAGAGCCCCCCACCCCAAUUUUCUCCCCUUUUCUCCCCCAAUUUCCCUCCCCCGAGCCCCCCACCCCAAUUUUCUCACCUUUUCUCCCCCCAGCCCCCCUGGAGCCCCCCCUGGGCCCCCCCCUGGGCCCCCCCGGCGCCCCCCGCCCGGGCCUGGGGGGGUUUUUGGCCAAACGGCGCCAGAGACCCCAAAACCAGGACCCCCUGGGAUUUGGGGACCCCCGGCAGGAGGGGCCGGGGGAGGCGCAGGGGCGGCUGAGCCCCCCAGUAUGGAGCCAGCUGGGCACCAGUAAGGGACUGGGACAAACUGGGAGGGACUGGGAGGGACUGGGGGGGGGAUUGGGAUGGACUGGGGGGGACUGGGAGGGGAUUUGGGGGGACUGGGAUGGACUGGGAGGGACUGGGAGGGGAUUUGGGGGGACUGGGAUGGACUGGGAGGGACUGGGAGGGGAUUGGGGGGGACUGGGAGGGACUGGGAGGGACUGGGAGGGGAUUUGGGGGGGACUGGAACAAACUGGGAGGGACUGGGGGGUGAUUUAGGGGGGACUGGAACAAACUGGGAGGGACUGGAACAAACUGGGAGGGACUGGGACAAACUGGGAUGGACUGGGAGGGACUGGGAGGGGAUUGGGGGGGACUGGGAGGGACUGGGAGGGGAUUGGGGGGCACUGGGAGGGACUGGGAGGGGAUUGGGGGGCACUGGGAGGGACUGGGAGGGGAUUGGGAGGGGAUUUGGGGGGGACUGGGACAAACUGGGAGGGACUGGGAGGGGACUGGGAGGGGAUUGGGGGGCACUGGGAGGGGAUUUGGGGGGGACUGGGAGGGGAUUUGGGGGGGACUGGGAGGGACUGGGGGAUACUGGGAGGGACUGGGAGGGGAUUUGGGGGGGACUGGGAGGGGAUUUGGGGACACUGGGAGGGACUGGGAGGUACUGGGGGGGACUGGGAGGGGAUUUGGGGGGGACUGGGACAAACUGGGAGGGGAUUUGGGGGGGACUGGGAGGGACUGGGAGGGGAUUGGGGGAUACUGGGAUGGAUUGGGAGGGGAUUUGGGGGGGACUGGGGGCACUGGGAGGGACUGGGAGGGGCUGCGGGGGACUGGGGGGGGAUUUGGGGGGACUGGGAGGGACUGGGACAAACUGGGAGGGAACUGGGAGGGACUGGGAGGGGACUGGGGGGGACUGGGAGGGAACUGGGAGGGACUGGGAGGGACUGGGAGGGGACUGGGAGGGACUGGGAGGGGAUUGGGAGGGACUGGGAGGGGAUUUGGGGGAGACUGGGAGGGACUGGGAAUUACUGGGGGUUACUGGGAGUUACUGGGAGUUACUGGGGUUUACUGGGGGGUUACUGGGACAGGACUGGGGGACACUGGGGGGGUUACUGGGGGUUACUGGGGGGUGUUACUGGGAGUUACUGGGGGGGUUACUGGGAGUUACUGGUAUUUACUGGGGGUUACUGGGGGGGGUUACUGGGGGUUACUGGUAUUUACUGGGGGUUACUGGGAGUUACUGGUAUUUACUGGGGGUUACUGGGAGUUACUGGUAUUUACUGGGGGUUAUUGGGGGUUACUGGGAGUUACUGGGGGGCACUGGGGGUUACUGGGAGUUACUGGGAGUUACUGGGGUCCCCCCAGGUGCCCCCCCCAAGCCGCUGGUCCCGGGGCAGCCCUGGAUGGAGCCCCUCCCCCCACUGGGGGAGCCCGUCAGCCCCGAGCCCAGCCCCCCCGACAGCGGCGUGGAGCUGAGUGGGGACUCGGGGGUCUGCAGCCAGCGCAGCUCCCCCGACGGGGGUCUGCAGCCCCCCCCGCAGCCCCCCGAAACCGCCCGGGACACCCCCCAACCGCGCUGCCGCCGCCCGGACCCCCGCCCGGACCCCCGCCCGGACCCCCAGGUACGGGGCGCCCCGAAAAGGGGGUUGGGACCCCGGAAAUACGGGGUUGGAACCCAAAAAUCUGAUGUUGGAACCCAAAAAUUCAACAUUGCACCCCAAAAUCUGGCAUUGGACCCUAAAAUUCAACAUUGGGCCCCAAAAAUUCAAUAUUGGAACCCAAACCCCGGCAUUGCAACCUCAAAAUCCGACGUUGGAACCCCAAAAAUUCAACUUUGGACCCCAAAACUUCAACAUUGGACCACAAAAUCUGACAUUGGGCCCCAAAAUCUGGCAUUGCACCCCAAAAUCUGA
ensembl:lncRNA